CGCUGUGGCAAAAAAUUAAAGCUUCAUGGAAAAAAAAAAAGGAAGAUUGACAGGAAACGAGGCUUCAAUAGGACAGCUUGCACUGAGUAGUGCUGUCCUUCUUUCUGCAUAUCAACAUAUGCAUAGGGAAAAAGAGCUCUCUCUCCUACUUGCAGCACGGAGAUUGGGAAGGGGCCUUGCCUACAUGCUGUAGGUAACAACUGGGCUGUCUUUGAUUGUUGAGAUGACGCCUGCAAGAAGGAGAUGGCAAAACCUGGAGGCGUGCGUGGGUCUGCAAAUUUGUGGCUACGACGGGACACCUGGGAUUUUAGGGCAAGACUAAGGAGUCAUCGUGGAUCAUGCAAGGGGCAUUGGACCCUACCAGGCUGGACUUUCAGAGGGGCCACACUGUCCAGCAGGCAUGCUGGGUUUUAGUUCAGAAUGGUUGCACGGGGGCCUCUUCAUCAUGAAUCUGGAAACCCUCUAUCAUUAAGGAUUAGUUCACAGAUUUCCUGAAAGUAAAAGAAAAAUGGAAAAGGAACUCAUAAAUGUCACAUCAGGCUGCCUCUUGGUGAAUUUUUAAUCAAGGGGGAGAAUUUCAGCUACAAAUAGACCAAGAAUCAAGAGGCCCGCUAUUGAUCGGUCAAAGUGGCACUUAUGAACCUGAGGUUGAAGCAGUUUGGAUAAAAGGAUUCUGGGCUUUCUAUGGCCCCAGAGACAUCUUUUUCCAUCAAGUCCAGGCCUGUGCUGAGUGCCACAGGGAACAGCAUUUAGCAACAUCAAGCAGGAGAGGCAGAGAAAGCAGCAAUAACUCCACAUAUGACUUGGAAAUUGGCUCAAUCUCGUGGAAAUCAAGCAAGAAAGGAUGGGGCGGCAGGCACUUCAGAUCUCUAGCCCCUCCUUCCAGGGCAGAGCCAUUUUAGAGACCCACGCCUUUUCCCCAUCCAUAGGCUGCUGAAGCCAGAAACAGCCCAGCACUUAAGAGGGGAGCGGAAAAUUACAUCACCAGUCUGGGCAGUAUCUUCUCAGCCUAAACCAUUAUUCCCUCCCUUCUUUUAACAAAGACGCCUAGUUUCCCACCCAAUAUCCAGUCUCCAUUUUUUUCCUAACUGAAUGUUGACUUCUCCCCCUGGGAAAUAAGAUAUCAAGGAAAAUGAUGCACCUUGUUUGCCUCCCUUGCAAGUGGGCCUGGCCCAUCCAUCAGAGCUUCAAAAGAUAGCCAGGCAGGAGUUAUUUUAUACAAUGGAAGUAAUUUCUAUGGGGCCAAGCAAUAAUAAGGAAAUCGGAAGUCAAGGACUGUCUUCCGAAUGGAGAAGAAGCUCCAUCAACCACAGAAGGAAAUUAUGAUCACUCCUGCCAUCCUGCUGCUUUGUGUAUCCAGGAUGAAGGGGAGAAUUGGAGUCUUGCACAAUGAAAGGACAACAUUGCUGCCAAAAGAAUCCAUCGCGACUGUAGGCAUAUUUUCCACCCUCAUCCUGCAGGUUUUCUGCCUGUUGUUGGCCCCUGACCAAUUUUGCUCCUGGGCAGUCUGAGGUGGAACAUAAUUUUUAUAAAACAAAUUAUGCUCAGUCUCACUUAUAAUCAGGGAAAUGUGAGUCAAAGCCACA